rnacentral:rRNA from 1 species
CUACGGGGGGCUGCAGUGGGGAAUUUUGGACAAUGGGCGCAAGCCUGAUCCAGCCAUUCCGCGUGAGUGAAGAAGGCCUUCGGGUUGUAAAGCUCUUUCGCAAGGGAAGAAAACUUAUCCUCUAACAUAGGAUGAGGUUGACGGUACCUUGAUAAGAAGCACCGGCUAACUACGUGCCAGCAGCCGCGGUAAUACGUAGGGUGCGAGCGUUAAUCGGAAUUGCUGGGCGUAAGGCUUGUAAGUGAGAUUUGAAAUCCCCGGGCUCAACUUGGGAACUGCGUUUGAAACUACAAGACUAGAAUAGGGCAGAGGGGGGUAGAAUUCCACGUGUAGCAGUGAAAUGCGUAGAGAUGUGGAGGAAUAUCAAUGGCGAAGGCAGCCCCCUGGGAUCAUAUUGACGCUCAUGCACGAAAGCGUGGGGAGCAAACAGGAUUAGAUACCCUGGUAGUC